rnacentral:rRNA from 1 species
UACAGAGGUCUCAAGCGUUGUUCGGAUUCAUUGGGCGUAAAGGGUGCGUAGGCGGCGAGGCAAGUCUGGUGUGAAAUCCCGGGGCUCAACCCCGGAACUGCACUGGAUACUGCUUUGCUAGAGUACUGGAGAGGGAACUGGAAUUUACGGUGUAGCAGUGAAAUGCGUAGAUAUCAGGAGGAACACCUAUGGCGAAGGCAGCUCUCUGGUACGUGACUGACGCUGAGACGCGAAAGCGUGGGGAGCAAACAGG